AAGGGAAAAAAAUGCUUUUUUAAGAAAUGAUACUGUGAACCAUGACUAAUACUGGAGAAAAUGUGUCUAAUCUUCUUUGCAAUUUUACUGGUAUCUUGUCAAUGACACAUGGUAUUCUUAGAACACCCUGGCUCAUCCAUGAGAAGUAGACAUUUUUGAUGUAUUUAGUUAGCAUAUUCCUUGCAGAAGCAUCUAUAUACAAAUUAGCCCAGAACACUUUAGUUUUAUCUAACUUAUUUCAGAUUUUUUCAGUCUUUUUUCAUUUUGACAUGCUGAAGAGCUUUAGAUGGUUCUAAAAUACACCAAGCAUGGGGGUAACACAUUUUCACAACAAAAUCUCAUAGUGCCGUCUUUUUAUAUUUGGGAUAAAUAAAGGAAAUGAAAUGUAGUCCUUUUUACAAACUUUUGAAUACAAUACUGAAGAUAGUGAGGGAUGAAAAUGGCAGAGGGAACAAAGUCAAUAAGACAUGAGUUCAAUAUAGCUAUGUGACUCUGGACAAGUCUCUUAACAAACUCUGCUUUAGUUUCCUCAAAUGUGAAAUAGAGAUAAUAACACUUACCUCCCAUGGCUAUUGUGAGAAUCAAAUGAGAUAAUAUUUAUAAAGCACUUUGCAAACUUUAAAAGCAUUAUAUAAAUGCAAGAUAUUCAUAUUACUACUUUGAUGGGUUGAAAAUAGACACUCUCAUUCUCCAAGAAUAUUAACUAAAUGCUGAAUAAUUAUGGUCAAUUUUGGUCCAUUAUUAGAGGAGAAUUAAAGAGAUAUGUCUCCUUUUGGUAAAAAAAAAAAAAAAAAAAAAGAGGGAGAUUACAAGUGAAAAUGUCUACAUUAUCAAAAAGUCAUUAUGAAGAUAUUGCUUAACUGUUACAACUUUAAUAAGAGGUAGGGCUCAUUUUCUGGUAGUAAGGUAUAUAUCUUGAAAUGAUGAUGAUGUAAAAGCAAAAGGCAUCAAAUAAAACUUAUUUUAAAAUAUAAAAGUUAAAAUAUAUAAGUAUUACACGUUUAAAAUUGAGAAAAGGAAAAGAUACUGCAUAAUUUUGUCACUUCAACAAAAUGUAACCAAGAAAGAAUCAAGAAAAGAAAAAAAUAUCAACAAACUGUUAUCCCUAUUUCACCUCUGCAGGAUUCCAGGAAAGUUUCCCUACAAAUCUGUCUUAUAACUAGUCUUCCUAUAUUAAUUAAUAGUUGCUCCAUUUUGCCAGUGAAUGCAUAUGUAAAACAUGGGAGUGAAUUUAAAAUAUCUUUGGUAAUUCAGUUCCAAGGUUCUGGAACUUUCAGGAUAAAUUUGAGCCUCAGGCUAAACCUGAUACUAAGUUUGGACUCUCAUCCAAAAUAAUGGUUUGGUCAUGUAUAUUUAUUGUGUGUCUAAUUUAUACUUUAAUAUAUUUAACAUCUACUGGUCAUCCUGCCAUCUAGGGGAGGGGGUAGGGGGAAGGAGGGGAAAAAUUGGAACAAAAGGUUUGGCAAUUGUCAAUGCUGUAAAAUUACCCAUACAUAUAACUUUUAAAUAAAAAGCUAUUAAAUAUAUAUAUAUAUAUAUAUAUAUCUGCAAAAAACCAAAAACAAAUAUUGCCUCAUCCCUUUGGAUCCUUCACCUAGUACCCAUCCCCCCAAUUACUAAAUCUGGUUUUUAAAAAUAACUUCUCUGAAGUUUCUGGCCCAUCCUUGAGGUCUUUUCUCAAUCCCUGGAUGGGCGGGCUUCAGUCAUACCAAGAAGACUCAGCUUCAGCUUGGCCUAAGAGAAGUCCCACCCCUGACUCCUCUUUGACAGAAGCAAUACAUCUUCCUGUUCAGAAGGUAGAUAAGGCAACAUUCUAUAAUUCUUGAGAAAAAAGAAGUGGUUGGUGAUGUGAACAGGAAGUUGGAGAGAAAGGGUCAAUUUUAUUUUUUUAAUAGGUAGGAAAGAGUAUAGUGAGCAAACUCUAGACUUUAGGAAUACAUUUUUAAAACUUCAGAAAAUACAUAGCAAAGAGAUUCUAAAAAUGAACUGAUUAUUCAACUAGACUGAAAGUCACAAGGAUUUAGCUUAACAUGAAAAAAAAAAAAAAAAAACUUUUUUCUCAUAACAAUUACAUAAAAUCUAGAAGCCAGGGAAGUUAAAAUCAACUUCAUAAAAGGACACCACCCUAUGUCCUUCUCAUCUGUCUGUUUCUGAUUUCUAAGUAAAUUAUGCUUUCAUUUCCUCAGAAAGGACAUAAAGCCUAUAAGUCCAGGGAAGUAAAGGGGGUUAUGUAGAAAGAGAAGGUGAAAUGAGGUUAGAAUAUCUAACCUAAUAUUUAUAGAUAACUGGAGUUAUCCCAUCUUAUGCUUGUAUUCUUGUGUCCACUGGUACUAUCUAUGCAUGUCUUAUUUUCUCUGAAAUCAGCUGAGACUCAUCCCCUUAUAAGGACAGAGAACCUGGCGUGCAGGGAAGCAGAGGGACACAUCUGAAAAUCUGUGGCAAAAUGAAGUGAGGUACAUCUCACAAAAUCUACACCUUAUGUCUUGUUUGCCACAGGUGUUAAACUGGGGGGAGACAUGACAUACAUAGAUUAAAAAAAAAAAAAAAAAAAGAUAUGCACUGUAAGCGGAAAGGGAUUGGAAGGCACUUAAAACUGGAAGGCUGUAAGCAAAAGCCUUGUGAACAGCAAGUAGUCCUUGAGCUGUGCCUUGAAAUAAGCCAGGGAUUUCAAGAAGUGGGAGUGAGGAAGGAGGGAAGAUUCCACCACUGAGGCAGGCUGUGAAAAAGUGGACUUGAGAGAUGGAAGGUUGUGCACAGGGAACAGCAGCUAGGUCAAUCUGCCAGGACACUGAAGGUGUGAGGAAGAGUAAUUUGAAAUCAAUAUGGAAAAAUAGAUUGUAAUCAGAUUGUGAAGAGCUUAAAAGUCAAGAGGAAUUUGUAUUUUAUCCUUAAGAUAUUAAAGCAAGAGGGUUUUCUGAAUAGGAGAGCUGACACAGUCAGAUGUAGGAUUCAGGAAUAUAAUUUUGGCAAUGGUGUGAUGAAUGGAUUACUGGAAGGAAAGACUAAAGGCAAGGAGAUCAAUUAGAAGCAAAAAUUCAGGAAAGAGGGGACAAGGGUAGAGCCUAGAGUGAAGAAAGUAGUACUGAUCAGACCCAUUUGUGGAGGCUGAAAUGACAAGACCUUGCAAAUGAUUAGAUAUGGAAAGUGAUAAGAUUAAUAUUCACAGAAUGGGGAAAGAGAGACAGAAAAAACCCUUCAAAGGAGAAAAUUAAGAAAAAAGAUGUCAAAAGGUAAAAAGAAAUUUUCACCUGUGUUAGGAGGUUGGAAUACAGAAAAAUAUAAAGUAGAGAAGGAAGGGAAAAUGGACUAGUUAAUAUUUAGAAUUAGUUAAUAAAUGUCAAGUUCUCUCAAUAGAGAGGAAUUUAGAACUAUCUAUGUAUUCCAAGAAAUAAUCAUGUAGGAAAAUGGUAACUCAUCUGAUAAGACAGAUAUAGAUGCAGAGGAACUCACCAAACAAAAAGGAAGAUGGAAAACAAGAGUAGGUAACGGGAUGAAUAAAACACAUCAUUUAGAAGAUGGCACACUGCCAUAAAAAUUUCAUCUGGAAGACUAAAGUUCAGCUCAGCUACUGAAUAAAAGCAGAUGAAUUAAGAAGGCGGCGAUUUGGAAAGUGGAUAGCUGGCUGUUAACAUACAGCUAUGAAUGAGAUUUAAAGUUCGGAAACAUUAUUGUGAACAUAGGAAUUAUGGGGGCUAGGGAUGAAGCACAGCUAAACAAGGGCUAAUAAAAGUAGAUUUGACUAGGAUAUAUAAUUAAAGAGAGCUUUAAAAUGGAGUAAGCAAGAAAGCAAGAAAUCACAAAGAUUUGAGAAGACUGAUACCACAAAGAUUAGCAGGUACAACAUGGGAGGUGGGGAAGCGAAGAGUACCAGAGGAUUCAUGAGUGACAAUAUCCAAGAAGAGAACCAACUAUAAAACCCAAGGUCUUAUGUCUCCAUAAAAAUAUACAAAGUAUGAGUAAUAGCGUAAACUAGUGUAAAGAGGAAAACUUCUUGUGAAAAUCUUGGGAAAAGUGUGGAGAGAACAGUGUAAAAGAAAUGACAGAAAUAAGUUUUUAGAAGGAGAUACUUUUUAUUCAAAAGGAAGAGAAUAGAUAAAAAGGCAAGGAAAUAGAACAAUCUUUAUAUAUUAUAUGUGCAUAUAAUUUGGAGGGAGACCGUGAGGCAAUUAGGGUUAAGUAGAUUGCUGUAAUAAUCUGUUGGUGGAUCUGCCUCAAGUCUCUCCCCAUUCCAUUUAGUUGUCAAAUUGAUUUCUAAAAUACAUGUCUGUCAUCUCACUCCAAUUCCAGCAAUUCCUAUAAUAUCACUCUAGGGAUCAAAAUACAGAAUCUUCUCACAUUUAAAGUUCUUCUUAACUUACUCUCUUUUUUAAUCAUAUGAAAAAAAUGCUCUAAAUCACUAUUGAUCAGAAAAUGCAAAUUAAGACAAUUCUGAGAAUGUCAGAGGGGAUGUGAGAAAACUGGGACAUUAAUGCAUUACUGGUGGAGUUGUAAAAUGAUCCAACUAUUCUGGAGAGCAAAUUGGAAUUAUACCCAAAGGUAUAAUGUGUGUGUGUGUACAUAUGUAUGUGUAUGAAACUGUCCAUGACCUUUGAUCCAGUAGUCUCACAACUAGGUCUGUGUCCCAAAAAGAUCAUAAAAGAGGGAAAAGGAUGCUUGCAGCAGUUCUUUUUGUAGUGAGGCAAGGAACAGGAAAUUGGAUGGAUGCCUUUCAGUUGGGGAAUGGCUAAAUCAGAAAAGCCUAGACCUACACGAACUAUGGAGACUAAAUGUGGAUCAAAGCAUGGUAUUUUCAGCUUUCAAUUUUUUUCCCCUAACAGCCUUUUAUUUUCAAAAUACAUGUAAGGAUAGUUUUCAACAUUCACCCUUGCAAAACUCUGUGUUCCAAAUUUUUCUCCCUCCUUUUCCUCCUUUCCUCCUCCUCUCCUAGAUAGUAAACCAAUAUAGGUUAAACACGUGCAAUUCUUCCAAACAUAUUUCCACAUUUAUCAUGCUGCACAAAAAAAAAAUCAGAUCAAAAAAGAAAAAAAUAUGAGAAAGGAAAAAAACCCCAAACAACAAUAAAAGAUAAAAACACUAUGUUGUGUUCUACAUUUAGUCCCCAUAGUCCUCUCUCUGGAUGCAAAUGGCUCUCUCUAUCACAAGAUUUUUUGGAAUUGGCCUGAAUCACCUCAACAUUGAAAAAAACCAUGUCCAUAACAGUUGAUCAUCAUGUAAUCUUGUUGUUGCUGUGUACAAUGUUCUCUUGGUAAUACUCACUUGACUUAACAUCAAUUCAUGCAAGUCUCUCCAGGUCUCUCUGAAAUCAUCCUGCUCAUCAUUUCUUAUAGAACAAUAACAUUCCAUUACAUUCAUAUACCAUAUCAUACUCAAUCACUUCCCAACUGAUGGGCAUCCACUCAAUUUCCAGUUCCUUGACACUAUAAAAAGAGCUGCUACAAACAUUUUUGCACAUGUGGGUCCUUUUCCCUUUUUUAUGAUCCCUUUGAGAUACAGACCUAGUAGAGACACUGCUGUAGUUUUUUUCUUUCUAGGGUUUUUUUUUUUCUUUUCUGAUCUGAUUUUUCUUAUACAACAUGAAUAUAGAAAUAUAUUUAAAAGAA